AGGAGGACCGUAGAGGUUUACUGAUAGGGAGUCAGAAGGAAAGAGGGAGCCGGGCUUUGUCAAGGCUUGCUUUUGAGGACUACAAAGAGGAGGGAGCACAUGGAAAUUGAAGUCCGUGGUUGCUAAUCUAGACGAGGUCAGAUUUAUAAAGGGAACUCGCUUCUCCUUGUAGUUUAUCAACCCUUUCAACAUCCUUCCACGCCAACAACGUGCAAUUACUGGUGUUUCACAGACAGGCUCUCUUUCUAGCAGUCGGGAGCGUGGAAACAACCGAGACAGUGACCCAAGGACCAGGCUUGAGUCCUUAGAGAAAGGAGCUGAGAGAGAAUUUGAGAAAGACUGUGAUCACCAAGGACUUUGGAAGGACUUUGGAAAAGAAGGACCUCUGCAUCAGGACCCAGAAAACAAAAUGUACCACCCAGUGAGGGGAGGAGCAUUCUCCCCACUUCUGCAGGGGAGACAGUCCACAGUGCAUGUAUUGGGGUUAAAUAAAAUCCCACAUAGCUCUACAGGGUGAACCUUACUUCAUCAUCUGAUCUGCUCCUUGAAAGUAAAGAAGAUAAGAAUGGAAAAGUAAAAUAUAUCUAUGAGUCAUAAAAAAAUAAUUCUUUCAGUCUGGGUAGUUUGAGAAAGCACUAAAGAAAGAUUAGAGAAUGAAUUCAGAUAAGAAGCAAUUUCAUAAUCUCUCUGAAGGUUAUUAUCCUGGUUUCAUUUGCUAUACCAGGAAUGUUGGUCCCUGGAGAAAAAUGCCAAACAAGUAUAACAAGUAUCAACUGAGAACACUCUGACUGGGAAGAAUGCUAUUUGUCUUUCACAAUGAGGACUUGAGAAGAGUAAUAGCCAUUGGUGAACUCCCAGGAGUGAAGGUAAGAGCCGCUUCACUUUCUGCCUUAAUCUCCCAGGAGCACAGGAAAUGCCGUAUGCAAGUCACUUUCCCAUUUGAUGGACCGCCAGUUCUUGGUUUAUAAACUGCAUCAAAGAAUUGCC
rnacentral:lncRNA from 1 species